GCAUCUCAUUGAGGCAAGUCAUGAAUCCCCUAGUUGGCUGCAGCAAGUUGUGAUGAGAAUCAAUGGCAGCAGUGACACCAAGAAAAAAAAAUCCCAUUAUAAACAUUUUUUCCCCUCAAUCUUCUUCUCAUAGUAUAUCAUUAGGCUAACUGGUGUUGAAGGAUAUAAAUCCACAACUGCCAUUGAUUCUCAUCACAACAUGGUCCAGUCUACCCGGGAACCCACAUUGGUACUGUUUUGAUACAUCCUCUUUCCUUAAGCCUAAGAACAAAACUCAAAUGAAGUGAAUUAAACAAUGCAGAGGACUUGGGGUUGAAACAGGUACUGCUUUCAUUCUCCUUUGUAUAUCAGAAGUUGCUGCCUGGCUUGGCUCAAACAAAAAAAGAAGAGCAAACUCGGCACCAAAGAAUAACUUUUGCAGUUCAUACAUUUGGUUGACUUACAAGUAUUUGGUGUAAUUCUCAUUUUUGUUGUUGUUGUGUUGUGUUAGGAAGGUCAGAGAAAUUGCAUUGCAGGAAUCAUUGAAAGAGCAAGUUAGAAAUGUUUGCUGGUGUUAUGUGAGGGUGAAUGUCCUUUGAUAUGAAAGCCAUGUGAGAGAGUGAUUGCUUUUACUUACUAAUUCAAAAGCAUAAAUGUGAAAUUUUUUACAAUACUUUUUCA